rnacentral:rRNA from 1 species
AACGCUAGCUACAGGCUUAACACAUGCAAGUCGUGGGGCAGCAUGGGAGAUGCUUGCAUUUCCCGAUGGCGACCGGCGCACGGGUGAGUAACGCGUAUCCAACCUGCCCUUCACUCCGGCACAGCCCGUCGAAAGACGGAUUAAUGCGGGAUGCAGUCAGAAAGAUGCAUAUUAAUUUGACGAAAGGCUUUAUGCCGGUGAGGGAUGGGGAUGCGUCCGAUUAGCUUGACGGCGGGGUAACGGCCCACCGUGGCAACGAUCGGUAGGGGUUCUGAGAGGAAGGUCCCCCACAUUGGAACUGAGACACGGUCCAAACUCCUACGGGAGGCAGCAGUGAGGAAUAUUGGUCAAUGGGCGGAAGCCUGAACCAGCCAAGUAGCGUGCAGGAAGACGGCCCUAUGGGUUGUAAACUGCUUUUGUGCGGGAAUAAAGCGGGUCACGUGUGACCCUUUGCAUGUACCGUACGAAUAAGCAUCGGCUAACUCCGUGCCAGCAGCCGCGGUAAUACGGAGGAUGCGAGCGUUAUCCGGAUUUAUUGGGUUUAAAGGGAGCGUAGAUGGGCUGUUAAGUCAGUUGUGAAAGUCAGCGGCUCAACCGUUGAACUGCAAUUGAAACUGGGAGCCUUGAGUGCGUUUGCGGUGGAUGGAAUUCGUGGUGUAGCGGUGAAAUGCUUAGAUAUCACGAAGAACUCCGAUUG